CCCAGUGACCAAGUUCAACGGCCGCGGUACCCUGACCGUGCAAAGGUAGCAUAAUCACUUGCCUUUUAAUUAGAGGCUGGUAUGAAUGGACAAACGAGAGCAAAGCUGUCUCCUUUACAAACAUAAAAAUUUACCUUCAGGUGAAGAGGCCUGAAUCAAUAUAAAAGACAAGAAGACCCUGUCGAGCUUUAGUCAAAAUAAAUCCAUAAUUACAACAAAUAUUAAAAUUUAAAUAUGACUUUUGUUGGGGCGACAAAGGAAUACACAAAUCUUCCUACACAAAAAAGAAAAUAAUUCUUACAAAUGAUCCAAUAUAUGAUUAAUAAAAGAAGCUACCGCAGGGAUAACAGACUAAUCUUCCUUAAGAGCCCAAAUCUACAGGAAGGAUUGGCACCUCGAUGUUGGCUUAAGAAGUCUUUUAG
rnacentral:rRNA from 1 species